CGAAGUAUGACUAUGUAAGAUCACUUUGCUGACCUUUUCUUCCACACAUCUGAAGUGGACAGAUACACAAAACUUGUUGUUCUCCACCUUGGCACCAGGAAUGGGCUUGGUCUUCUCCAGUAACUUUUUGUGAACCUGAUUAAAGGGAAAUGAUUCAGUGUGUAUUAAUUAGUAUCAUGAAAAGUUUCAAGGAAAAAAAAAAAGUGGAAAUUGAAGAACCAACCUCAUUCAUUGCAGGAAAGGCUUUAUUUGGAGGGAAAAGUACUACCUUGGUGUAUUUGGUUCCUUUGGGAACUUUGAUGUCCAUGCCAUGGCUUCCAGCGUAGAAUAACUCGGUUAAUUUUACAAAAUCAUAUACCUGAAAUUGAUGCAUGCAUUAGAAUUUAGUAGUUGAGUAGCAGAACAAGCAGGCGAAGUAUCAAGAAAUUGCUGGCUACUUUGCUCCUGCAGCGCCCGCUCACAAUUGCUGUCGGGAAGCACCGUGCGACCUCCUUCACCGCCGCUCUCAUCUGAGCACAGAGAUUGCAAACAGGCGAUCAAAAUCCCAUCUUUUGCCUCUUUUUUUUUUCUUUCUUUCUAGCAUUGAUUUCAUGAAUGAAUGCAGGGGAAGCUCACCGCUUCGGACAUGAAGGCGGAGUCGGGAUCGUCGACGAUGGGGGAGAGAGUCCCGUCGUAGUCCAAGAACAUCACGAUUUGUUUCCCCUUCGUGGCGUUCAUGAUCUGCUCAAACUUGCUCAAAGCCGAGGGAUGCUGAAUCUGCUCCAAGCAAAUGCAAUUACGCGUCAGAACUGGAAAGAUUCGAGCUUUUUGAUCGUUUGAGAUAACGGCGACUUACUAUCCACGCGGAGUAUUCGGGGAUCUCGAGCUCGUCGGCGGGCGCUGCAGCCAGGGCGGCGGCCGCCUUCGCGUGGGUCGGAGAGGAAGCCUUCAUCGACUCCACCCACCCGUUAGCCCGCCCUCCGCUGAGCUCGAUGGAAGAAUAAUGCUUCUUCCUGAUCGACGCGCCGCCGCCGCCGCUGCGCGGCGGCGGGUACGGCACCGCGGCCGGCGAGUUCGCCGGCGUUGCGAUCCCCGGCAUCGCCUCAGGCACCAACAUGUUCUGGCUCGUCAUUUUAACAGAAACCGGGGCGAAAAUGUCAGAGAAGAAGAGCAAAGAUCGGAUUUCUUUUCCUCGCCCCGGUCGACCAAAAAUAGGAGCUCCGAGGAUUCCUCGACUCGGUAAAGCGGUGCGGGUGGUUGAGAUCGGGAGUUAGCGAUGGAGGAGGUGUCGCGGGGGCGGUGGAUUUAUGGGUGGCGGAGGGAGCAAGAGGACAAGGAAGGGUGGGUCCCGCCCGAGCUGGAAGCCUGGAACGGAGUAGAGCUCGGGCGGGCCCCUCUCCGGUCCAAACCCGUCGACGUGGCGGCGGACGCAGCGCACGAGCGCGCUGUGCUCACGUGUUGACGGUCGGAGGCAAUAAAUCCAAGAAGCCUCUAAUAAUUAAUUAUUAAUACGCAUCCAAAUAAUUAAUGAAUCAUUAACAUUUAACCCUGCGUUUAGGGUAUCUAUUAAUUAAAUAGCUCUUCUUUUUUUAUUCUUCCUUCAAAUCUUCCAAGACAGUUUUAGUUUAUCAACAAAGAACCACAUUACCAA